UUGGGACUGAGAUACGGCCCAGACUCCUACGGGAGGCAGCAGUAGGGAAUCUUGCGCAAUGGACGAAAGUCUGACGCAGCAACGCCGCGUGAGGGAUGACGGCCUUCGGGUAGUAAACCUCUGUCGAGUGGGAAGAAAAGCUUUGUGGUUAAUAUCCACAGAGUCUGACGGUACCACUCGAGGAAGCUCCGGCUAACUACGUGCCAUCAGGCGCGGUAAUACGUAGGGGGCUAGCGUUGUUCGGAAUCACUGGGCGUAAAGGGAAUGUAGGCGGACCGGUAAGUUAGGAGUUAAAGGUACGGGCUCAACCCGUCGAUCGGCUCGUAAUACUGUCGGUCUUGAGUAUGGGAGAGGGAGACGGGAUUCCAGCGGUAACGGUGGAAUGCGUAGAUAUCUGGAAGAACACCAGUUGCGAAGGCGGUCUCCUGGACCAAGACUGACGCUGAUGCUCGAAAGCUGGGGGAGCGAACAGGAUUAGAUACCCUGGUAGUACCAGCCGUAAACGAUGGACAAUAGUUGCAGGAGGAGUCAAUCCCUUCGGUGACGAAGGUCACGCAUUAAGUGUCCCGCCUCGGGAGUACGCUCGCAAGGGUGAAACUCAAAGGAAUUGACGGGGGCCCGCACAAGCGGUGGAGCAUGUGCUUUAAUGCGAUGCAACGCGAAGAACCGUACCUGGGUUUGACAUGGGGGUGAAAGUUUCCAGAGAUGGAAGCCUGUCCUUCGGGGACACCCCACACAGGUGGUGCAUGGUUGUCGUCAGCUCGUGUCGAUGAGAUGUUGGGUUAAGUCACCGCAACGAGCGCAACCCCUGCCCUUAGUUGCCAUCAGGUGAAGCUGGGAACUCUAAGGGGACAGGUUGGUAUAACCAGGAGGAAG
rnacentral:rRNA from 1 species